UACGUAGGGACCAAGCGUUGUCCGGAUUUAUUGGGCGUAAAGAGCUCGUAGGCGGCCCUCCACGUCGGAUGUGAAAGCUCAGGGCUCAACCCUGAGAUGCCAUUCGAUACGGGAAGGCUAGAGGUAGGUAGGGGAAAGUGGAAUUCCUGGUGUAGCGGUGAAAUGCGCAGAUAUCAGGAGGAAUACCAGCGGCGAAGGCGGCGCUCUGGGCCGGUACUGACGCUGAGGAGCGAAAGCGUGGGGAGCAAACAGG
rnacentral:rRNA from 1 species